UACGGAGGGUGCAAGCGUUAUCCGGAAUCACUGGGUUUAAAGGGUGCGUAGGCGGCUAGAUAAGUCAGAGGUGAAAGUUUGUGGCUUAACGAUAGAACUGCCUUUGAUACUGUUAAGCUUGAAAGGAGGUGAGGUUGGCGGAAUGUGACAUGUAGCGGUGAAAUGCAUAGAUAUGUCAUAGAACACCGAUUGCGAAGGCAGCUGACUAGACUGGAUUUGACGCUGAGGCACGAAAGCGUGGGGAGCGAACAGG
rnacentral:rRNA from 1 species